UAAUACAUAGGGUGCAAGCGUUGUCCGGAUUUAUUGGGCGUAAAGAGCUCGUAGGUGGCACAGUUAGUCAGAAGUUAAAACGCAGGGCUCAACUCUGCGUCGCUUUUGAUACUGCUGAGCUUGAGUAUGGCAGGGGAGAACGGAAUUCCACGUGUAGCGGUGAAAUGCGCAGAUAUGUGGAGGAACACCAAUGGCGAAGGCAGUUCUCUGGGCCAUUACUGACACUGAGGAGCGAAAGCGUGGGGAGCGAACAGGAUUAGAUACCCUGGUAGUCCACGCCGUAAACGGUGGAUACUAGGUGUGGGAGAUAACCAACUUCUUCCGCGCCGUCGCUAACGCAUUAAGUAUCCCGCCUGGGGAGUACGGCCGCAAGGCUA
rnacentral:rRNA from 1 species